UACAGAGGGUGCAAGCGUUGUUCGGAAUUAUUGGGCGUAAAGGGCGCGUAGGCGGUGCGGUAAGUCUGUUGUGAAAUCUCUGGGCUCAACUCAGAGUCUGCAACGGAAACUGCCGUGCUUGAGUACGGAAGAGGCGAGUGGAAUUCCCGGUGUAGCGGUGAAAUGCGCAGAUAUCGGGAGGAACACCUAUUGCGAAGGCAGCUCGCUGGGACGUUACUGACGCUGAGACGCGAAAGCGUGGGGAGCAAACAGG
rnacentral:rRNA from 1 species